AAGUCAAUGUAAAGAGAACGUUAUGUUUCUGCCAAACAAACUUACUUGAUGAAUGAUGACGAACAUGCCACAAAACACAGCUUUGAUAUGGUGGUUUUAUGCUAUCCAACUUAACAAAAAAUUAUAAAUUGUUUAACUUUGAGAGAAAAAACUUCUACUUGGGGGGAAAACAUGGAAUAUCAUCCCCUCCCAAAGAGUUUAUAGGUGCAUUUAUUUAUGUGUUCAUUAAAUUCAUCCUAGAAUAUAUGCUGCUGGUGAGCGCCAGCCCAAUGACAUACCCUAUAGGAAAUGACUAGGAAGCUCUCUGUUCUUUCCUCUCAUUUUUCUGCUUUCUCCACCAAUAUCAAUUCUCUUCCUGCUUUCUUUUUAAUUGCACAGUAGAUCAAGGGGUGUGCUGGCUUCCUCCUGUUUGUCCCAAUGGGAAGCUGUGACAGGGACCCAGUCUUGCUUGCGUCAUAGAGCUCCACACCGCCUCUGCUGACCUUCAUCUCCACAGUGUAGCCACUGAUGGGAAGAAAUGAGCUGAACCUGAAGCUAGCAUCGGCACAGAGACCCCCACUCCAGCCCUGUGUGAGCCACACAGGGCUGCUCAUUGCAUGAGCCCACACGACAGGUGCAUUUCAGGAUCCCUUCUAUAGUGGUCAUGAUCCAUUGAACUGACAAUAAUGCCUCCUGAGUAGAACUUGCUAGAAAGAUUUCUGAGACAUUGUAUGUCAUUUAAAUUAGAGAAUCAAAUUAAGAUAUUCUGAGAACACCUCCCUAAAUGCCUAAAUGUCACCUUAUCUUUAAUAUAAAUGCUCUUUUUUUAAAAUUUGUGUUAAACUAUCCCAAAUUCAAUCCUUUUUUUUUUUUUAACCUGGAAAUACUAAUUAACCACUUUCUAGAAUCCCUUUUCCUACGCCACAGGUUGAGUAGAUUUAACUGAGAUCACAGAUAACUCAGCAGAAAUCAAAGGGCACUAUUUUCUAUUUCUUUUUCUUUCUUACUAUAUAGGUUUUUUUUGUUUUGUUUUUACCACUGACAACAAAACAUUCACACACCUCGGAUUCAGAGUCCCUGUGGUUCCAUGCAUAAUUAGCAUCCAACUGUCUGCCAGCAAAUAAUUUCUGAUGGUUAAUUGGACCCUCGCAAAUAGGAGGAACAGAGAAGGCUGUGGCAAGACCACUGUCAGAGCCACGGCUGGUGGCCUGCGAAGAGCAGGUAGCACUCAGGGCACAGUGGUGGCUUGAGACAUGAACCAGCCCAGGGUGUAUGGGUGGCUCAGAGAGUAUGCCAGCCCAAUGUUCAGUCAGGAAAGAGAAUCCCUACUUGUACCCUAGAAGGCCCUUGACUUCCAGGUGUCCCACCAGAAAACAGUCAUUCCAUCAUUAAGCUCUCAAGCCAGAAAGCCAGAGAGGAAUUUGGCUGGUAGU